rnacentral:lncRNA from 1 species
GGGGUAAACCUUUGUGUAUUAGGUUUUAUUGGAAAAUAAAUCAUAGACGCAAGCGCAAAGAAUAAAGCUUGUCGUCGACGACUUUUUUUUUUUUAAAUUCAAGCGGAGGACUUUUAAAUCGGCAAAACAGUUGUCAUGCUCCUUACGAAUCUUAAAGUCCGCGACACACCGGACCGAAGUCGCGCCGAGUGUAGCCAUCCGUCGGGGUCCACGCUGUCCACCUUAUGGUCACCCG